UUUUGUUAGUGCUAAAUUUAUCUGUGAAUAGAAUCAAUAAUUAACUUAUCUUUUCCAUACAAAUUUGGAUUUUUUUUUUUCGUCCCAUCAUCCCCACCAUCACCAACAAAGCUCUCACUCUCUAUCAAAUCAAAUGGGGGUUGAGGAAAAAAAUUGGUUUCAUGUCAACCCAUUUUCAUUUCAUGCUAGUCAAAUGGGUUGAGGAUUGUUAACAUUAAAUGGGUUAAUGUGAAAGGUAAUUAACUUAUCUUUUCCAUACAAAUUUGGAUACUCUGUUUGUUUGUUUUUUUUUUUUUUUUUUUUUUUUUUCCAUCCCAUCAUCCCCACCAUCACCAACAAAGCUCUCACUCUCUAUCAAAUCAAAUGGGGGUUGAGGAAAAAAUUGGUUUCAUGUCAACACCCAUUUUUAUUUCAUGUUAGUCAAAUGGGUUGCGGAUUGUUAACAUUAAAUGGGUUAAUGUGAAAGGUUAACUUGACUGUUAACAUUAAGCUAAAAAUAAAAUAGAUAGUCAUAUUUUUACUCAUAGUUUCAAAUUAGACAAAAUAUUUUUGGUAUUUAUUGAAUACUUUUGUAUUUACUUAAACUUUAUCUGGCACAUUAUUCACUGGUGAUUUGCAGAAUGAUGAUGAGAUGCAACUCUUGACUUUUGGCAAGAUCAAGUAUAGUAAUUACGUCUGACGACUUUUCUUCCGCUCCAAAGCUGCUCGGGCUUUAGUCAACUGGCGUAUGGGAUACGCCAAGUAGAAUAGUACGGGGCAAGCCACCUCCGAAGACUGCAUCUUCUCUCCAGAGCACAAAGUGCUCCACCGCUGCGCGCCACCGAAACUUUCAGAAACAACAUAACAACAUCUAAACUGAGAAAAUAACAACUGAUAACCUCUAUAGUAAAACAAGCCGAGCUGCUCUUCCCACCUCCAUCUCCGUCUCCAGAUCCUCCAUCCCAAUUCUUGCAAACUCCUUCCAAAUCCCGGAACAUCAAAUCGUAACCUGAUAAUCUAUGAUUAUGAUAUAUAACAUUAGUUACAGUAUCAGUCUUGUAUAAUGAGAUGUAAAGAUCGCACGACCCAGGCGCUGCUUAUAUUUCUUUAUUAUCAUCAUCCCCUUUCCAAUGAAUCUCAUAUCCAUAAUUCCCAUUAUCGUACAGAGUAAAUAGGGUCACAUAAGAAUUCAUUUCCUGCCUGUUGGGAUCCUUUCCUUUAAACUUCACUUUCGUAGGCUUCUGUGAAAGCCAUAGAUUACCAAGGUGCACACCUCCCGAAUCAACCGUGAAAUCGUCACCGCUGUCAUUCGUGUUCUCCACCGAGAUCAUUCCCUCAAAUCCGUUCCGGAAAUGCACAAUAUUUAGAACCAUUUUAAUUUUUCAUUCCAAUCUAUAAUUACCAACAUCCUUUAUAGACAAAUUUUAUAAUUUAAAAUAAGUUGCGUUACGAAUCUACGCAACAUUAAAAUAUCCCCUAUCCCCAGGGGCAAUCUUGGAAACUUUUAUAUUAUAAAAAUAUUAAAUCUUGGGCUACUUCAAUAAAAUGCAACUUGCAAAUCCACUAGGCCCAAGUACAUCUAAGUCCACUGGGCCAAAGUAUAUGCGCCCUCCAGAGCUGGGCAGGCUCUUCUUUCUCGACUUUUUGACAAAAGAUCAAGUAUAGUAACUUAGCCUGACGGCUUUUUCGCUGCGCGGCUUUUGUUAGACAAUUUUUGUUGCGCAAUAAAAGACGAAGUUAAAUCAAUUGAAUGAUUAUUUUUCAGGCAUUCGCCUAAUUAAUUUUCUUCUAAAAUUAGAGAAUAAUAGCAUAAAUGCGAAAUCUAAUAAUCAAACAGCCCAAGCAAUUUUAUUUCUCAAUCAAAUUCAAGUACAUAAUUAAAGUACAAGAUUAUGCAAGAACAUUCAGCAUCUUCAUGAUGUAUUUCAUCUUAACAUCUAAAUCCCGAUCUUCAAUUGCAGAAGCAUAAUCAUUUUCAAGAUCCAAGAUUGCCUUAACCAGAGUAUGAUAUUUAGGAUGAUCAACUAACCCCUUCUGACAAUACCAGUCGGCGUGUUUCUGGCAAUCUUCAUACAUAAGAACAACAUCAAACCACUCGACAACAUCAAACCACUCGACAACCCUUCUGGAAAGUCCUUUCUCAUCCAAAUGAUUACGGACAAUUGAUAAAAUCUCAAAAUCCCUCUUCCUAAUUCUUCUCAAUCCAUCUUUGAAGCUGCACCUCCUUCUAAAGAGCUUCUUCUGAUUAAAAACAUGCUGCAUAUCAGAAAACGAAGGAUAUUCAUUCUGAACCCCGGCAAAAGCCCCAAUUUCUUCCAUUGACGUCUACCCUAAUCGGAAGAAGAGACGUCUAUUUAAUAUCAAAGAUAUUAAGUACAUUUAAUUAUCCCUUCAGAUCCACCAACAGAAAUCUUUUACGUCUAAAAGCAAAUAGCCUCCAAAGUUAGCAUCCAUGCCAUCCCUUAGGUCAUUCCCUGAUGCGGACAUUUCCCCCGUGCCAAUACUGGCACGCGUUCUGUAACGCGUAAUGAGUUAACUUAUCUUUUCCAUACAAAUUUGGAUACUCUGUGAUUUUUUUUUUUUUUAUCUCAUCAUCCCCACCAUCACCAACAAAGCUCUCACUCUCUGUCAAAUCAAAUGGGGGUUGAGGAAAAAAUUGGUUUCAUAUCAACACCCAUUUUCAUUUCAUGUUAGUCAAAUGGGUUGAGGAUUGUUAACAUUAAAUAGGUUAAUGUGAAAGGUUAACCUGACUGUUAACAUUAAGCUGAAAAUAAAAUAGAUGGUCAUAUUUUUACUCAUAGUUUCAAAUUAGACAAAAUAUUUUUGGUAUUUAUUGAAUACUUUUGUAUUUACUUAAGCUUUAUCUGGCACAUUAUUCAGUGGUGAUUUGCAGAAUGAUGAUGAGUUAUGGUGCACAGAGGAUGUGAGCAGUGGGUUUUGUUUUGGGGUUCACAUUAGAGAGCUUGAGGAAGAAGUGAAACUUCUUAAGAACCUUUAGCAUCCAAAAAUUGUGGUAAGUAUUUGAUUUGCAUGCUUAUUAAAGCAUUUUAAUGUUUCCUUUUGUUGCUCAUCCCUUAAAAAACAAUUCAAAUAUCUUCCUGUGCCUAUCCAUAAAUUCUUCAAAAGGUAAGGUAUAACUUCUAAUUUCUGAUUGUAAUAAUAACAUUCUAAUGAUUUGAGCACAUGCGAGUUUGUUCAAAAUUAUAUACGUGGUGAUCCUCACCACCAUACACAGAACUUUAAACCCAAAUGAAAGUAUAAUUUUUCAAGGCAAUUAAAAUCCAUUGGGGUUUUUGUUUGAUAAUUUGUCAUGGUAUUGCUUUGUUUUCACUUAUAAAUUCAAGUGGCUUUGGUCUAGUUUCCUUUAAUUAUAUAGAGUUAUGAGCCAUCAUAUUGGUUUUCAUUUUUCUUGAUAAUUAAUUAUUUUCUUUUAGCCACCAAUGUCGACAGCUAUUAUGGGUAGUUUGGAAGUUGAUUUCAAUAAUUUCUGACUUCCGUGAUUCUUUGAUUUUGAAGACCAACACAUGCUCUACAUAGUUGAUUUGUGGUGAUUCUCUCUCUCUCUCUCUCUCUCUCUCUCAAGAUUUAUAUUUAAUGGGUUCAAUAACUUUUUCGUGGUGAGCACCCAAACUUAGAUUUUUAGAUAUAUUUCUCAUGUGAAUGGGUUGUUAUUUCAUGUUUUUAUUGGUAUAUUAAUAUGGGAAUUUUAGGAUUUUUAGUAUGUUGUUAUUGCAUUAUUGUACAAAGAGGUUUUCAUUUGUACCUUUUUCACCUUUGUUUUUUCCCCUCAAUAUUUAAUGUACAUUUGUGAUCUCAUCAUACACCACCAGUUGAGCCGACGUGUGUUUGGAUUUUGUUUUAGGCUGAAGAUUCAUAAUGGAAUGAUUCCCACUCACUCCCAUCCCCUAUCUCAGUUAAAUCUAAAUAAAAUUUUGGUUUUGUUUAAUUGGUACAAAUGUAUUCAAUUUCCAUAGAAUUUGAAACUUUACCAAUGUAAGCAAUUUCAAGUUGAGGCAUGAGUAAUUGAUAUAAAAGGCAAAUUCAUGAGUUAAUUUGUUUUAGACUUAUAGAAGUUGAGUCGGAGUUUUGAUUUACUAAGAUUUCAAAUUGGUUUUGAUAGAUAUUUGAAUUUUUUUUCCUUCAAUUAAUUGGUUUUGAAUUUCAUAACUUAAUUAUUUGGAAUUGUAGUAUAAUCCUGUUCAAUCUUUGAUUAAUCUCAUUAACAAAAGUCAUCUUAUUUACAUAUAAUCCUCUAAUUGGUUGUUUAGAAUUUCAUAAUUAUCGGUUGGUUUAAUAGAGAAGCCUUCUAUUUGUUAGUCUACUUUCAAUUUGAUUUCCAAAUUCUAUUUUUUUCAUAGUGUAAUGAUUUAACUAUGUUUAUUGUGGAAUCUAAUCUCUUUUUGUUUUUGGUAUUAUUGAUUGGCAAGUUAUUGAUAUUGGCAUAAAACAGUGCAUCUUUAGCUUAAAUUUUAUAUUAUUAGUUUGGCAUUUGCAUUUGUGUGUGGUUUUGAUUGAUUGCUCAAAUUAGAUGGUUUGAUUCUUGGUCUAAAGAAACUAACAAAAUGCAUACGAAAACAAUGUGCAAUAACUCAUAUCUUUGGCAGAUUGAUUCAAUUCAGUUAAAUUGAUAGUAUUGGGUAAUAGUAAAAUCAACUUAUACUGUCUAUUGGGUAUAAAUAGGACAGUUUCAUGAUUUCAUCGUAAAAGAACCACAUUUCAUCGUAAAAGAACCACCCGUGCCUACGACACUCCAAGUUAAAAAAUAAAAAACACGUUCAAGUUUUUUUUGGCCCUUCCCUU